GACGAACCGUCCAAACGUUAUUCGGAAUCACUGGGCUUAAAGGGUGCGUAGGCGGCCAUGUAAGUGAGGUGUGAAAUCCCUCGGCUCAACCGAGGAACUGCGCUUCAUACUGCAUGGCUUGAGGGAGACAGGGGUAAGCGGAACUGAUGGUGGAGCGGUGAAAUGCGUUGAUAUCAUCAGGAACACCGGUGGCGAAAGCGGCUUACUGGGUCGUCUUCUGACGCUGAGGUACGAAAGCUAGGGUAGCGAACGGG
rnacentral:rRNA from 1 species